rnacentral:rRNA from 1 species
CCUACGGGUGGCAGCAGUGAGGAAUAUUGGUCAAUGGACGAGAGUCUGAACCAGCCAAGUCGCGUGAAGGAUGACUGCCCUAUGGGUUGUAAACUUCUUUUGUAAAGGAAUAAACGUAGCCACGCGUGCCUUUUUGAAAGUACUCUAUGAAUAAGGAUCGGCUAACUCCGUGCCAGCAGCCGCGGUAAUACGGAGGAUUCGAGCGUUAUCCGGAUUUAUUGGGUUUAAAGGGAGCGUAGAUGGGUUGUUAAGUUAGUUGUGAAAUUUGGGGGCUCAACCUUAAAAUUGCAAUUGAUACUGGUCGUCUUGAGUACAGGUGAGGUAGGCGGAAUUCGUGGUGUAGCGGUGAAAUGCUUAGAUAUCACGCAGAACACCGAUUGCGAAGGCAGCUUAC